rnacentral:lncRNA from 1 species
AUGGAACUUAAAGGAAGAAAGCUUUUAAAAAUUUUCUUCUAACAUUUACUGUACAGUCACACCAAAUGUGAAGAUUUUAAGUUCUAGGAAGUUUUGUUGCUCCCUGCCUUCUCCUAGUUUACUGCACAGUGCAUUAUUUACAUAAAACAGAAUUUCUUCUGUGGGAAAGGCUUGCAUGGUACUUCAAAGCCUGAAUAAAUCAGGGACUUCAGUUUGAAUCUACAGAAAAAUCAUCAAAAAAAUUCCUUUCAAUAUCUGCAUUGUAUUACCUUAUCAAGCUCCCUGUCUAGCUGAGUUAUUCAGGUAUCCACACCAGUGCAGUCCUUGCUAUGGGCAGAUGUUUCUUCUGUUCUUCUUACAGCAGUAGGAGUGGUUGGACACUGAACCUCAAAGAAGAGGGAGCUAACAUCCCUUACCUGGAUAAGUGCCACAGAAAAAUGAAUAUGUAGACAUCUGCCUGGACUAAUUAAGUAAUCACUGCUCUUUGUGAUCUUCAAUGCCGUUCUUCACUCAAAAACCUCAAAGCGCAAAGAAUUUUUCUGAGGCAGUCCCUGUAGAUGGAAGCAUCUUUGAGACUAAUUCCAUCAUAUCUUGGGGAUUAGAAGAAAUGGGGAAAAUCUGUGAGAAAUGAGGAGAGCAAAUUAUUGUCUUUCAAUGCAGGAAGUACCAACUCAGAUCUUGCCAUACAUUAUGAAUAAUCUCAUUUUUGCUGGAAUCCUGUACUAUAUUAAAGACAUUAUGGCUGGUAAAAUUACCUAGGGGAGCACUGCUUUCUU